GGAUGUGAAGGCGAUCUGGCUGCAAUAUCUAUCACUCCAUGUGCAUCCCUCCCAAAGCUGUACACUUGGUUAAAGAUGAGAGUCUUCCUGGAAUAGAUAUGGACCAUUCUUCAGUUUAGGUAGCUGCGGUCCCCUGCUAAAACCUCCAGACAAGCUCUCAAAUAUUGAUGCAAAGGUUCGUGAUGCUUUGUUAGCCCUUACCCAACUAUCUAAAGCCAAUCUGACUGGCACGUUU
rnacentral:snRNA from 1 species